rnacentral:rRNA from 1 species
UGGGGAAUAUUGCACAAUGGGCGCAAGCCUGAUGCAGCCAUGUCGCGUGUAUGAAGAAGGCCUUCGGGUUGUAAAGUACUUUCAGCGGGGAGGAAGGGAGUAAAGUUAAUACCUUUGCUCAUUGACGUUACCCGCAGAAGAAGCACCGGCUAACUCCGUGCCAGCAGCCGCGGUAAUACGGAGGGUGCAAGCGUUAAUCGGAAUUACUGGGCGUAAAGCGCACGCAGGCGGUUUGUUAAGUCAGAUGUGAAAUCCCCGGGCUCAACCUGGGAACUGCAUCUGAGACUGGCAAGCUUGAGUCUCGUAGAGGGGGGUAGAAUUCAAGGUGUAGCGGUGACAUGCGUAGAGAUCUGGAGGAAUACCGGUGGCGAAGGCGGCCUCCUGGACGAAGACUGACGCUCAGGUGCGAAAGCGUGGGGAGCAAACAGG